rnacentral:rRNA from 2 species
GAUGAACGCUGGCGGCGCGCCUAACACAUGCAAGUGAACGGUUAAAGCACCUUUUAGGUGUGUAUAAAGUGGCGAACGGCUGAGUAACACGUGGGCAACCUGCCCUCCUCUUGGGGAUAGCCUCGGGAAACCGAGGAUAAUACCCGAUACUUCAAUGUGGCCGCAUGGCGACAUUGAGAAAGCUUUUGCGGAGAAGGAUGGGCCCGCGGCCUGUUAGCUUGUUGGUGGGGUAGAGGCCUACCAAGGCAAUGAUGGGUAGCUGGGUUGAGAGACCGACCAGCCAGAUUGGGACUGAGACACGGCCCAGACUCCUACGGGAGGCAGCAGUGGGGAAUCUUGCACAAUGGGCGAAAGCCUGAUGCAGCGACGCCGCGUGCGGGACGAAGGCCUUCGGGUUUGUA